AGGGCGCACGGUGGAUGCCUUGGCACUAGGAGCCGACGAAGGACGUGACAAACGACGAUAUGCCUUGGGUAGCUGUAAGUAAGCGAUGAUCCAGGGAUUUCCGAAUGGGGGAACCCAACAGGUAGUACCUGUUACCCACAUCUGUUAAGGAUGUGAGGAGGAAGACGCAGUGAACUGAAACAUCUAAGUAGCUGCAGGAAGAGAAAGCAAAAGCGAUUGCCUUAGUAGCGGCGAGCGAAACGGCAGGAGGGCAAACCGAAGAGUUUACUCUUCGGGGUUGUAGGACUGCAAUGUGGACUCAAAGAUUAUAGAAGAAUGAUUUGGGAAGAUCAGCCAAAGAGAGUAAUAGCCUCGUAUUUAAAAUAGUCUUUGUACCUAGCAGUAUCCUGAGUACGGCGGGACACGUGAAAUCCCGUCGGAAUCUGGGAGGACCAUCUCCCAACCCUAAAUACUCCCUAGUGACCGAUAGUGAACCAGUACCGUGAGGGAAAGGUGAAAAGCACCCCGGGAGGGGAGUGAAAUAGAACCUGAAACCGUGUGCCUACAACAAGUUCGAGCCCGUUAAUGGGUGAGAGCGUGCCUUUUGUAGAAUGAACCGGCGAGUUACGUUAUGAUGCGAGGUUAAGUUGAAGAGACGGAGCCGUAGGGAAACCGAGUCUGAAUAGGGCGCCUUAGUAUCAUGACGUAGACCCGAAACCAUGUGACCUACCCAUGAGCAGGUUGAAGGUGCGGUAAGACGCACUGGAGGACCGAACCAGGGCACGUUGAAAAGUGCUUGGAUGACUUGUGGGUAGCGGAGAAAUUCCAAACGAACUUGGAGAUAGCUGGUUCUCUCCGAAAUAGCUUUAGGGCUAGCGUCGACAUUAGAGAUUCUUGGAGGUAGAGCACUGUUUGGGUGAGGGGUCCAUCCCGGAUUACCAAUCUCAGAUAAACUCCGAAUGCCAAUGAAUUAUGGUCGGCAGUCAGACUGCGAGUGCUAAGAUCCGUAGUCGAAAGGGAAACAGCCCAGACCACCAGCUAAGGUCCCAAAAUAAUUGUUAAGUGGAAAAGGAUGUGGGGUUGCACAGACAACUAGGAUGUUAGCUUAGAAGCAGCUAUUCAUUCAAAGAGUGCGUAAUAGCUCACUAGUCGAGUGACCCUGCGCCGAAAAUGUACCGGGGCUAAAACAAUUUACCGAAGCUGUGGAUACCUUUAUAGGUAUGGUAGGAGAGCGUUCUAUGUGUGAUGAAGGUAUACCGUGAGGAGUGCUGGAACGCAUAGAAGUGAGAAUGCCGGUAUGAGUAGCGAAAGACAGGUGAGAAUCCUGUCCACCGUAAGACUAAGGUUUCCAGGGGAAGGCUCGUCCGCCCUGGGUUAGUCGGGACCUAAGGAGAGACCGAAAGGUGUAUCCGAUGGACAACAGGUUGAUAUUCCUGUACUAGAGUAUGUAGUGAUGGAGGGACGCAGUAGGCUAACUAAAGCAGACGAUUGGAAGAGUCUGUCUAAGCAGUGAGGUGUGAAUUGAGUCAAAUGCUUAAUUCUAUAACAUUGAGCUGUGAUGGGGAGCGAAGUUUAGUAGCGAAGUUAGUGACGUCACACUGCCAAGAAAAGCUUCUAGCGUUUAAACAUACUCUACCCGUACCGCAAACCGACACAGGUAGUCGAGGCGAGUAGCCUCAGGUGAGCGAGAGAACUCUCGUUAAGGAACUCGGCAAAAUGACCCCGUAACUUCGGGAGAAGGGGUGCUGACUUAAAGUCAGCCGCAGUGAAUAGGCCCAAGCAACUGUUUAUCAAAAACACAGCUCUCUGCUAAAUCGUAAGAUGAUGUAUAGGGGGUGACGCCUGCCCGGUGCUGGAAGGUUAAGAGGAGUGCUUAGCGUAAGCGAAGGUAUGAAUUGAAGCCCCAGUAAACGGCGGCCGUAACUAUAACGGUCCUAAGGUAGCGAAAUUCCUUGUCGGGUAAGUUCCGACCCGCACGAAAGGCGUAAUGAUUUGGGCACUGUCUCAACGAGAGACUCGGUGAAAUUUUAGUACCUGUGAAGAUGCAGGUUACCCGCGACAGGACGGAAAGACCCCAUGGAGCUUUACUGCAGUUUGAUAUUGAGUGUCUGUACCACAUGUACAGGAUAGGUAGGAGUCUAAGAGAUCGGGACGCCAGUUUCGAAGGAGACGCUGUUGGGAUACUACCCUUGUGUUAUGGCCACUCUAACCCAGAUAGGUGAUCCCUAUCGGAGACAGUGUCUGACGGGCAGUUUGACUGGGGCGGUCGCCUCCUAAAAGGUAACGGAGGCGCCCAAAGUUUCCCUCAGAAUGG
rnacentral:rRNA from 1 species